rnacentral:piRNA from 1 species
UGCCAGUGACUGUGACCAUGACCUUU